rnacentral:rRNA from 1 species
UACAGAGGGGGCAAGCGUUAUUCGGAAUUAUUGGGCGUAAAGGGCGCGUAGGCGGCUUGGCAAGUGGAUGGUGAAAUCCCUCGGCUUAACCGAGGAACGGCCGUCCAAAACUGCUUCGCUUGAGACCGGGAGAGGUGAGUGGAAUUCCCAGUGUAGCGGUGAAAUGCGUAGAUAUUGGGAGGAACACCAGUGGCGAAGGCGGCUCACUGGACCGGUACUGACGCUGAAGCGCGAAAGCGUGGGGAGCAAACGGGG